GAUGAACGCUGGCGGCGUGCCUAAUACAUGCAAGUCGAGCGAACGGACGAGAAGCUUGCUUCUCUGAUGUUAGCGGCGGACGGGUGAGUAACACGUGGAUAACCUACCUAUAAGACUGGGGUAACUUCGGGAAACCGGAGCUAAUACCGGAUAAUAUUUUGAACCGCAUGGUUCAAAAGUGAAAGACGGUCUUGCUGUCACUUAUAGAUGGAUCCGCGCUGCAUUAGCUAGUUGGUAAGGUAACGGCUUACCAAGGCAACGAUGCAUAGCCGACCUGAGAGGGUGAUCGGCCACACUGGAACUGAGACACGGUCCAGACUCCUACGGGAGGCAGCAGUAGGGAAUCUUCCGCAAUGGGCGAAAGCCUGACGGAGCAACGCCGCGUGAGUGAUGAAGGUCUUCGGAUCGUAAAACUCUGUUAUUAGGGAAGAACAUAUGUGUAAGUAACUGUGCACAUCUUGACGGUACCUAAUCAGAAAGCCACGGCUAACUACGUGCCAGCAGCCGCGGUAAUACGUAGGUGGCAAGCGUUAUCCGGAAUUAUUGGGCGUAAAGCGCGCGUAGGCGGUUUUUUAAGUCUGAUGUGAAAGCCCACGGCUCAACCGUGGAGGGUCAUUGGAAACUGGAAAACUUGAGUGCAGAAGAGGAAAGUGGAAUUCCAUGUGUAGCGGUGAAAUGCGCAGAGAUAUGGAGGAACACCAGUGGCGAAGGCGACUUUCUGGUCUGUAACUGACGCUGAUGUGCGAAAGCGUGGGGAUCGAACAGGAUUAGAUACCCUGGUAGUCCACGCCGUAAACGAUGAGUGCUAAGUGUUAGGGGGUUUCCGCCCCUUAGUGCUGCAGCUAACGCAUUAAGCACUCCGCCUGGGGAGUACGACCGCAAGGUUGAAACUCAAAGGAAUUGACGGGGACCCGCACAAGCGGUGGAGCAUGUGGUUUAAUUCGAAGCAACGCGAAGAACCUUACCAAAUCUUGACAUCCUUUGACAACUCUAGAGAUAGAGCCUUCCCCUUCGGGGGACAAAGUGACAGGUGGUGCAUGGUUGUCGUCAGCUCGUGUCGUGAGAUGUUGGGUUAAGUCCCGCAACGAGCGCAACCCUUAAGCUUAGUUGCCAUCAUUAAGUUGGGCACUCUAAGUUGACUGCCGGUGACAAACCGGAGGAAGGUGGGGAUGACGUCAAAUCAUCAUGCCCCUUAUGAUUUGGGCUACACACGUGCUACAAUGGACAAUACAAAGGGCAGCGAAACCGCGAGGUCAAGCAAAUCCCAUAAAGUUGUUCUCAGUUCGGAUUGUAGUCUGCAACUCGACUACAUGAAGCUGGAAUCGCUAGUAAUCGUAGAUCAGCAUGCUACGGUGAAUACGUUCCCGGGUCU
rnacentral:rRNA from 2 species